rnacentral:rRNA from 1 species
AGAGCGAACGCUGGCGGCAGGCCUAACACAUGCAAGUCGAGCGCCCGUAGCAAUACGGGAGCGGCAGACGGGAUAGUAACACGUGGGAACGCGCCCUUCGGUUCGGAAUAACUCAGGGAAACUUGAGCUAAUACUGAAUAAGCCCUACGGGGGAAAGAUUUAUCGCCAUUGGAGCGGCCCGCGUCUGAUUAGCUAGUUGGUGAGGUAAAGGCUCACCAAGGCUACGAUCAGUAGCUGGUCUGAGAGGAUGAUCAGCCACACUGGGACUGAGACACGGCCCAGACUCCUACGGGAGGCAGCAGUUAGGAAUCUUGCGCAAUGGGCGAAAGCCUGACGCAGCCAUGCCGCGUGAAUGAUGAAGGUCUUAGGAUUGUAAAAUUCUUUCAGUGGGGAAGAUAAUGACUGUACCCACAGAAGAAGCUCCGGCUAACUUCGUGCCAGCAGCCGC